CCUGGCUCAGAUUGAACGCUGGCGGCAGGCCUAACACAUGCAAGUCGAGCGGAUGAGAAGAGCUUGCUCUUCGAGUUAGCGGCGGACGGGUGAGUAAUGCCUAGGAAUCUGCCUGGUAGUGGGGGACAACGUUUCGAAAGGAGCGCUAAUACCGCAUACGUCCUACGGGAGAAAGCAGGGGACCUUCGGGCCUUGCGCUAUCAGAUGAGCCUAGGUCGGAUUAGCUAGUUGGUGAGGUAAUGGCUCACCAAGGCGACGAUCCGUAACUGGUCUGAGAGGAUGAUCAGUCACACUGGAACUGAGACACGGUCCAGACUCCUACGG
rnacentral:rRNA from 1 species